GACGAACGCUGGCGGCGUGCCUAAUACAUGCAAGUUGAGCGCUGAAGGUUGGUACUUGUACCAACUGGAUGAGCAGCGAACGGGUGAGUAACGCGUGGGGAAUCUGCCUUUGAGCGGGGGACAACAUUUGGAAACGAAUGCUAAUACCGUAUAAAAACUUUAAACACAAGUUUUAAGUUUGAAAGAUGCAAUUGCAUCACUCAAAGAUGAUCCCGCGUUGUAUUAGCUAGUUGGUGAGGUAAAGGCUCACCAAGGCGAUGAUACAUAGCCGACCUGAGAGGGUGAUCGGCCACAUUGGGACUGAGACACGGCCCAAACUCCUACGGGAGGCAGCAGUAGGGAAUCUUCGGCAAUGGACGAAAGUCUGACCGAGCAACGCCGCGUGAGUGAAGAAGGUUGUCGGAUCGUAAAACUCUGUUGGUAGAGAAGAACGUUGGUGAGAGUGGAAAGCUCAUCAAGUGACGGUAACUACCCAGAAAGGGACGGCUAACUACGUG
rnacentral:rRNA from 1 species